UACUCAAAGAGGGAGAUGGGGUAUCAAAAUCAUAUCGAUCCUCACAUAAUUAUAAUAUUUUCACAUUACCCAACUCUAAAAAAUUACAAACAUUCUAGCUUCUUUUUGUAUGAGUAUUUUAGUAAUCAAACUAAUCGUAAUCGUAAUUAAUUUCAUUCAUGUGGUAAAUAAACAGUGGAAUAAAAUGAAAUAUUCUCAUACCGACCGAUUCUUAUUAAUACCGAUUUUUAUGAUAAUUUUCAUUCUAGGUUAGUAAACGUGUCCUUAGUUCUCUCAAUUUUUUAUUAACAUGAUCAUCAGUUGCGGUCGAUACCUAUGAUCACCUUGUUUUUUUCACCCUUUCUCGAAUUAAUGUAGGUAUCGCUUAACCGAUUUGAAGGCACACCACCACGCCAUGCUAUAUAUCUCGCAGAGUUGGUGUGUGUUCUUAGUAAUUCAUUGCCAACGUACGUACGUGCAUGGAGGCCAAACUAAUCAUCCAACUGGAUCAGUGUGUAGCUAGAUCGAGAAUAUUGCCAAUUUUGGGAGUGAAAAUGUGCACCUUUACGCGUAUUCUAGAAUGACGUACAUCGCAUUGUAAUUAUACCGGCGGCCUUCAAAGGCCUGUGAGAGAGAUCGAUAUUGGCCGGAUGUACGAGUUUGAAGUUUCUUCAUUCAUUCUUGUAUUUAUUCAUGAAGAUGAGCCCAAAAUUUUCAACGGAGAAUGCAAGCGAUUGAGACUGUUGCAAAUAUUACAGCAUCAUCAUGCAGCAGCAGCUUCCAUUCCAGUUCAUAUAUUGUGACACUUAACGCGUGCAGCUAGCGAUCUUCUUCAACUCCCCAGAACAUAAGCUGUCAUGCAUCUCGAUCCCAACUAAUAAAGCAAUAAUUAAACUCUGAGAAUUUUCUCCACCUGUUCUUUCUUUGGGUUAAUUUGAUCUUGUGCGUGCUAGCUUUCACGUUGACCAAAACUAGCUAUUUGGGUUAAUAUAUAUUAUUAUAGUUUCUAGUAGUCGAUCUACGUGAUUUUUAUUAUCUAGUUUCAUAUACAAAAAUUAAUCUGUUCGCUAAUUAACUAGAUAAUUGUAGUCGUAUGCAUUGCCAUGCAGGUGCCAAAUGUAUACUGUGCAAAAGAUAACAAUUGUGAAAGAGUAGUAUCAAAGCAUUACGUACGUCGUAAGUUCUAGAAAACUUUGUAUAUAUGAUGUAGAUGUACGUAAGCGUAAAAUCAUAAUUACAAUAUUCAAAUUACCAACUCUAUAUAGAAAACAUGCAAUCCGACCUUGUCGAAAAAAAACUAUAGAAAACAAUCCACAUCUAAGUUUGAAUUUUGAAGAAAACUAAUUACGAUGCACAAAGUUUUCGUUGAUGAUCAAUCGGGCUAGGUAAUAAAAAUGCUUAUCGAUCACAUUCUUGAGUAAUUAUGUAUUUCUCAUUUUGGAAACAGUCAAAACACUAGCCUCGUACGUUUUCUACAAAAUCUUUGUAUGACUUUGUGUAGCAGGUGUAGUCAUUUCAAUGAUCCAUACGAUAUAUGAUAUACCAGGUUUCAGUCAUUUCGAUUCCCAUCAAGGUGAAUACCCGCAGGGGCGGAGAGAGAACUGUAAGUCUAGAGGGCCGAGAUAUAAAAUAUGAAAAAAGAUAUAUACAAUUUUAAAUUUUUGUCAAAAUUAUGUGUUAAUUAAAAUUGAACUUAUUGUUUUUGUUGAUGUAUAAUUUCAUUUAUAUAUAUAUAUGUAAAUGAUUAUAUAUUGAAAGUUUACAUGCAUGUAAAAUGAUUAGUUAAUAACGUACUAAUCGAUUAUGGUGAUGAAUAUGACAAGAUGCAACGAGGAAGGAGAUUAUAUAGUCUAAAAUAUCAAACUAGUCAUUAUUACGUGACAUAUUAUUACAUGAAAAAUGGGCUAGAUCAUUACAAUUAUAUAUAAUCGUAACUAUUUAGUCCUACAAUUGUGGUGUACGUAAUUGACCAUCUUCAAAAGGUUUAGGGGGUGCCUUAGUCUUAAUGUAGCUCUGUCAAUGCCAACUUAUAUUCCAAGUCAUGGAGUAAUAUUCAAUAUGUACUGUGUCAAGUCAUGGAGAGGACUCUUAAUAUCUGCUACUAGUAUGCAAUAUAUUUGCUAAUUUGAAAUUUUUGAUGCAUGAAUCUACUAUACAUACAAUUUUUCAUUUUUUACGAUGUUCUAGGGUUAGAUUUGUUCCAUUCUUAAGGUUCUAAUAAUUUCAACUCAAAAUGUCACAAUGAUGUAACAAUAUCAAUUUUUAUAUGAAAUAAAUAUAACAAAACGUCAACUCUUUUUAAAGUAUGUAUCAUUCUCAAAUGCGCUGGGAUUGACAAUUUUAACUAUACGAUAACAAAUCAGUAAAACGUAUCAAACUUAGACCAGCCCUGAAUAAUAGUUAUAAUAAUACAUUCAAAGGUCUUAUUUUCUUUUUUUUGGACUGAAAAUGUUGGCUAUUUUGCUAAGUGGAGCGGCUCUAGUGGCACUACUAAUACUAAUCCAAGUCGUCGGGUAUUUGACGUGAGAAGCCUCUCCUCCCCGCGCUCCUAUCAUUACAGGUAGCAAUUUCUCAGUCGCAUGACCGACCAAUCAUUUGUCACUAUCUUGUUCUUAUUGGCCAAUUCCGUAACCACACAUGCGUGUUUCUUUGACCCUUCGAAGAACAAUAACAAAAACAGGAGAGUCAAUCUUGUUGACUUUUCCAUGUAUCCGAUCCCCUUCUGGCCUCUAUCCCCAUUACAAUCCAACUAUUUUCAUUUUUCAUCAUCAAGAAAUAGAAACUUGAUUAAUUCUUUUUUUUUUUUGUCAAAGCUUAUAAAACUUGUUAAAAUGCUACCGAGUUGGAAUUUCUUUAUCAAAGUUUUUGCAAAUUUUUGAGAAAGAAUUGUUGAACAUUUUUUGUUUAAGAAGAAAAGAGAAUAGGUAUUUGCGAUUCUCGUGUAUUUGGCAACCACUAAUAAC
rnacentral:lncRNA from 1 species